rnacentral:other from 1 species
AACACCCUGCUGUGUGCGUGUUGCCGUCUCACCGGUUCUGAGCCAACACUCUCUGAAAGGGCUUCCAUCUCGCGGCAUGAACGCGAUAGGCUUCGGCCAAGGCGGGAGUUCCGGGUAGAAGCCCAACCUGCUUCGGCAGGUUCAGAACUUUGCGGCUCACGGCAUGUGCGGGGUACUU